CCCAUAUCCCCACCCCAUAUUUCCCCCCCCCCCUCCUGUUUCCUUUUAGAUCUGCCCCUGUGGUCUAUUAAGCCCCUCCCACUGCGCAUUUUGGCAACAACAUGUGCACCACUCAAAUGCUACUGUGCAUGUUACGCAGCAUGUUGCAAAUUUGUGCAUAUAUAUAUUACAGUAACUAAAUCAUGAUAUAUUACAGUAAAAUGGUACAUGAGUUGUGUUGUCUUUAUAUUUUAACUAAAAGUGCAAAAGAGUUUAUUAUGAAAAUGGAAAAAAGGACCAAUGUGGAAAUACAGUAAUUAUAUAAACUGUGUUUAUGAAACAUUUUUAAUAAAUUGCUCUUAAAAUUAUGUAGACAGGUGCCAUUCUGAAAUAGUGAUCAUUCAUUACACAGCGUGAAUUGUUCAUAAAUGUUAGACCAACUGCUGCAUGACAACAAAUUUUUCUGGGGGGGGGAAUGAUAUUUUGGAGGUUGAGAAAUGUGAUCUAAGCUUUUUAUUCUUUUAAACUUAAAUUAGUGGGGAUGUAUUUGAAUUUGGUUAUUAUUUAUUGUCUACCGGUUUGGGGAGUUAUUAAAUAUGUUUGUUGAUUAAUUUGAGACUAGACAAAGUAGACAUACAUAAAAUAUCUCAUAGAGACUUUAUUAUUAAAAGGCAUUUUUAAUUAUCUUGGAAUA